GAACUUUUCACAUUUAAAAUCAUAUGUGAAUUUGAAUUUUUUGUCAAUAAAAUGAGAUCAAUAAAAUAAUUUGCAUCCGCUAGUAGGAGAGAAAUUACUGAGGACAUUGAUGAAAUAGUCUGAACUAAGCUAAAAAUCUUAAUUUCUUAUAAUGACGUCAAACGCGGAAAACCAAUUUAUGCGAUGUCCCACAGGACAAUGCAAGUCGUUGGCGAGCCAAUAAAUUUCAUAAAAACAUUUGCGUUCGGCGAAUUGUCGCUAAAAUUGUCCCUUAGGAUAUAACAUUAAGUGUUUUUCCGCGUUUGACGCCAUUAUAAGAAAGGUCUAUUAAAUUGUGCAUAUAUAACCAUAAUAUGUACAUAUACAUAUGUAUUUAGUUUAUUAUCAGCUAGGUGUAUACCACAAGAUAUCAUGGCGUAUAAAAUGUACUUAUAUUUGACAAAUAAUUUUUUUGAGAAAAAUCAAUCGUAUAUAUCGUGCGGUUUUUCUGUGUACCAUAUUCAUAAACUAAAAACUACAAAAUGUCGUGAUUUCUCUUAAAAUUCAGUAACACGUGACAAACCAAGUUAUCUUCGGUACAGUAGUCGAGACUUCCAUAUAGUUUAAUAGUAAUAAAAUUAAGAGUGGCACAAGCAUCGUAAAUAUUGUAAUUAUUAAAUGUUAGUGUUUGUAAGUGAAUUAAUAUAAAAGAGAUGCAUGCCACAUGGUGCAUAUAUAUCGAGCAGCAGUAUUUUGUACUAGUAUAAGCAAAAUUCUGUAACUGUUCCUAGUGCUGAAUGUUGUAAUCUUAGACUUAGAGUUGAAUAAUCUGAACUUAAUUUAGUUUCAUCUGAUCAAUGAAUGCAACGACAUGGACAUUUUUAAUCGAAACAUUGAUGAUGAUAAGAAAAUCAUUUGUAAUAAACAUACAGUACUUUUUAAAUAGUAAUACAGUACAGAUCUCAUGAAAAUGUUGAGUGUCGAAAACUAGACAAACUAUUAGUAUUACACUCGAAGUUUCAAUUUAUUUAGGGAAAGCUAACAGCUAACUUUAUUCCCACAGCCAGCAAAUUUACUUUUUGUUGCACUUUCUUGGCCUUGCGAAAUUAAUAAUGCUAAAAAUAAAAAAGUCUGACCCAACUGGAUCAACAAAUAAUUGUACAAUUUUCCUUUUAUGAUGGCAUGUUUACCUGAACUAGACGAUCCACCGAUUGAGAUCAGCGAGACCAGUUUGGGCAGUGUAUCAUUCUUAACUGUGUUCUACAAGCCCAUGUACUGACUCCGACAUGCAGCUAUCUUCUACUUUCCUCAUCCCACUCCAACCACACCAAAAGUUCUGCUUAUAUUUUCAGAUAAUUGUAUAUCCUUCACACCGCACCGAAUAUAAUUUGAAAUUCAUUAUUUUAGUAUUAAUAAAUUCCGUCCAAAAUGUUAUUUUUCACUUUCUAUUGUUACCAAUUUAAAUUCAAAAUUAACUUUGAAAAGGAACAGAACCGACGUACAUCUCUUCUGCUUGAAGCUCCUUAGCACAUUUGCUCGUUGUUGUACCUAUA